GGAUGUGAGGGCGAUCUGGCUGCGACACCUGUCACCCCAUUGAUCACCAGGGUUGAUUCGGCUGAUCUGGCUGGCUAGGCGGGUGUCCCCUUCCUCUCUCACUGCUCCAUGUGCGUCCCUCCCGAAGCUGCGUGCUCGGUGGAAGACGACGACCAUCCCCAAUAGAGGAGGACCGUUCUUCGGUCAAGGGUAUACGAGUAGCUGCGCUCCCCUGCUAGAACCUCCAAACAAGCUCUCAAUGUCCAGUUUUCCCAGAACCUUUUAGUUAAGAGACGUUUUCCCAUUGCAUAUUCCUGCCUCCUUUGUUGUAGAUUAAUUAACCUAAUAACUGCA
rnacentral:snRNA from 1 species